rnacentral:lncRNA from 1 species
ACUGUUCUAAAUCGAAUUGAUCUUCCUCAAAAAUAGUUUGGCCUUUUAGUGACCCCUCUUCUCCUGAACUUUUUUUCAUGCAACAGAAGUAAAUAACCAUGGUCGUAUGACUAAGAAUGCAAUUGGUACGGAGUUGAUCAUUAACAAGCUUUACAAAGAGACACAUGAAUACGUCGGGAAAGAGGAGAGACAGUGAAGGAGACAAGGGCA